rnacentral:rRNA from 1 species
AGUGAACGCUGGCGGUAGGCCUAACACAUGCAAGUCGAACGGCAGCACAGUAAGAGCUUGCUCUUACGGGUUGCGAGUGGCGGACGGGUGAGGAAUACAUCGGAAUCUACUUUUUCGUGGGGGAUAACGUAGGGAAACUUACGCUAAUACCGCAUACGACCUACGGGUGAAAGCAGGGGAUCUUCGGACCUUGCGCGAUUGAAUGAGCCGAUGUCGGAUUAGCUAGUUGGCGGGGUAAAGGCCCACCAAGGCGACGAUCCGUAGCUGGUCUGAGAGGAUGAUCAGCGACACUGGAACUGAGACACGGUCCAGACUCCUACGGGAGGCAGCAGUGGGGAAUAUUGGACAAUGGGCGCGAGCCUGAUCCAGCCAUACCGCGUGUGUGAAGAAGGCCUUCGGGUUGUAAAGCCCUUUUGUUGGGAAAGAAAAGCAGCAGGUUAAUACCCCGCUGUUCUGACGGUACCCAAAGAAUAAGCACCGGCUAACUUCGUG